rnacentral:ncRNA from 1 species
CCGAAAAGGGUAAACCCUGGGUAACCAGGGGGCACAAAGCCAAGGGUCCUUAUGUUCGAUAAGGAUAGCCGGUUGCCGAA